CGCGUGAGGAACCUGCCUCAAAGAGGGGGACAACAGUUGGAAACGACUGCUAAUACCGCAUAAGCCCACGGUGCCGCAUGGCACAGAGGGAAAAGGAGUAAUCCGCUUUGAGAUGGCCUCGCGUCCGAUUAGCUAGUUGGUGAGGUAACGGCCCACCAAGGCGACGAUCGGUAGCCGGACUGAGAGGUUGAACGGCCACAUUGGGACUGAGACACGGCCCAGACUCCUACGGGAGGCAGCAGUGGGGAAUAUUGCACAAUGGGGGAAACCCUGAUGCAGCGACGCCGCGUGGAGGAAGAAGGUCUUCGGAUUGUAAACUCCUGUUGUUGGGGAAGAUAAUGACGGUACCCAACAAGGAAGUGACGGCUAACUACGUGCCAGCAGCCGCGGUAAAACGUAGGUCACAAGCGUUGUCCGGAAUUACUGGGUGUAAAGGGAGCGCAGGCGGGAAGACAAGUUGGAAGUGAAAUCUAUGGGCUCAACCCAUAAACUGCUUUCAAAACUGUUUUUCUUGAGUAGUGCAGAGGUAGGCGGAAUUCCCGGUGUAGCGGUGGAAUGCGUAGAUAUCGGGAGGAACACCAGUGGCGAA
rnacentral:rRNA from 1 species